rnacentral:rRNA from 1 species
AGAAGGAAGCUUGCUUCUUUCAAAUCUAGUGGCAAACGGGUGAGUAACACGUAAACAACCUGCCUUUCAGAGGGGGACAACAGUUGGAAACGACUGCUAAUACCGCAUGACACAUUGGGGUCGCAUGGCCCUGAUGUCAAAGAUUUAUCGCUUCAAGAUGGCCUCGCGUCUGAUUAGCUGGUUGGCGGGGUAACGGCCCACCAAGGCGACGAUCAGUAGCCGGACUGAGAGGUUGAACGGCCACAUUGGGACUGAGAUACGGCCCAGACUCC